rnacentral:rRNA from 1 species
CCUACGGGAGACAGCAGUAGGGAAUCUUCCACAAUGGGCGAAAGCCUGAUGGAGCAACGCCGCGUGGGUGAAGAAGGUCUUCGGAUCGUAAAACCCUGUUGUUAGAGAAGAAAGUGCGUGAGAGUAACUGUUCACGUUUCGACGGUAUCUAACCAGAAAGCCACGGCUAACUACGUGCCAGCAGCCGCGGUAAUACGUAGGUGGCAACCGUUAUCCGGAUUUAGUGGGCGUAAAGGGAACGCAGGGGGACUUUUAAGUCUGAUGUGAAAGCCUUCGGCUUAACCGGAGUAGUGCAUUGGAAACUGGGAGACUUGAGUGCAGAAGAGGAGAGUGGAACUCCAUGUGUAGCGGUGAAAUGCGUAGAUAUAUGGAAGAACACCAGUGGCGAAAGCGGCUCUCUGGUCUGUAACUGACGCUGAGGUUCGAAAGCGUGGGUAGCAAACAGGAUUAGAUACCCGAGUAGUC